AGAGUUUGAUCCUGGCUCAGGAUGAACGCUAGCGGCAGGCCUAACACAUGCAAGUCGAGGGGCAGCGGGAAUGAAGCUUGCUUCAUUUGCCGGCGACCGGCGCACGGGUGCGUAACGCGUAUGUAACCUACCCUGAACUGGGGAAUAACACUGAGAAAUCGGUACUAAUACCCCAUAAUACACUGGAAGGCAUCUUCUGGUGUUGAAAGCUCCGGCGGUUCAAGAUGGACAUGCGUUGUAUUAGUUAGUUGGUGAGGUAACGGCUCACCAAGGCGACGAUACAUAGGGGGACUGAGAGGUUAACCCCCCACAUUGGUACUGAGACACGGACCAAACUCCUACGGGAGGCAGCAGUGAGGAAUAUUGGUCAAUGGACGCAAGUCUGAACCAGCCAUGCCGCGUGCAGGAAGACGGCUCUAUGAGUUGUAAACUGCUUUUGUACGAGGGUAAACUCGGAUACGCGUAUCCGACUGAAAGUAUCGUACGAAUAAGGAUCGGCUAACUCCGUGCCAGCAGCCGCGGUAAUACGGAGGAUCCAAGCGUUAUCCGGAUUUAUUGGGUUUAAAGGGUGCGUAGGCGGUUUGAUAAGUUAGAGGUGAAAGCUCGGGGCUUAACUCCGAGACUGCCUCUAAUACUGUUGAGCUAGAGAGUAGUUGCGGUAGGCGGAAUGUAUGGUGUAGCGGUGAAAUGCUUAGAGAUCAUACAGAACACCGAUUGCGAAGGCAGCUUACCAAACUAUAUCUGACGUUGAGGCACGAAAGCGUGGGGAGCAAACAGGAUUAGAUACCCUGGUAGUCCACGCAGUAAACGAUGAUAGCUCGUUGUCGGCGAUACACAGUCGGUGACUAAGAGAAAUCGAUAAGCUAUCCACCUGGGGAGUACGUUCGCAAGAAUGAAACUCAAAGGAA
rnacentral:rRNA from 1 species